GGAAACAAUAUAUGUAUGUAGCAAAAAUGACUUUAUAACAAGAAUUAUAGAGUUGUUCUAUAUUGAAUGUGCAAAGCAGUAUUAAAAAGAUGAAAAAAACUAAACGUGACAUUCCCAUUUUUAAUUUAUGCUAACGUGAAGGCUGAUAGCACAGAACAUCAGAACAGAUAAAUUACAUUAUUGAACAUUGCACUUUACCAACUCCCUACUCAAAUUUCUCACAUUUAUAAACAUGAGUAAAGGGGGCACAAAAAUGGAGGGGAUGGUGUGUGCACUGUUCAUCUGUGUUCAAUUGUGAAAUAUAAUAUCACAACACAGAAUACAAUGAUAUGGGAAUGUGUACAUGCCACAGUAUCUCUAACCAGAUUUAACUCCUAUUUCUUUUCAUGAACUGGGAAGGGAGGCAGGGUGUCUCGAUUCAUUUAUUACUAGCUGUUCUGCGGUAGAGGAGAUCACCUUAAAAUAUAAUUGAAGAGGUCGGACUCAUUUCCUUCAGUUCAAAUGCACCCUCCCUCCUGUUUCUACACAAAAACACAUCAUUUUGCUAUUAAAACUUUCCAUUUCUCACAAGUGACUUUUCCCAAACUCAAGUCAAAAGCACCUAGGCUUUUACCACAUCUUGUAGGCAGAGUUGCGGUAAUUACUAGUUUCUGUCCUUAAGAAAUUUUUCAAUUUUUUAAACGCCGUCCAAACUGAGCAGGACUCACAUUAACCAUUCCCUAAAGUAGCAGUUUACUGAGGUUAAUACACUUUUCACAAGCGCGUCUAUCCAAUUAAAGUGUACAUAGUACGUUGGACUAUUCGCACCGACUUAAGAGUUACAAUUUUAUAUUAACAAUCAGUCUAAACGCGGUAACUCCCGCCUUUUUCAAAUACUCAUGUUUUGAACCCUCUGACUUUUGGAUUUUAAAAACUGCUCACCCCUCCAGUCCCAACAUAGAACGACAUUUAGCAACUGGUCUUCUGACUUCCUGAUACUGAAAACCACAAGCACCAGAACUGCUGCAUCGGUUUGUUUUAAACCAUUUGCUUUCACGUCACGGGGAAAACAAGGUCGCUCCCCUCCUCCUCCACUGCGGGGCCUAAGCCAAUUGGAAGGACUGAGCCCCUCCGGGCGACAACCAGAAGGCGGCCCCUCCUCCCGCCUGUUGCCAUCCGAAGCAGGAGAAGUCAGUGAGUCCCCUUCACCUUUUCCUAGCUGGUGCCAGGUUCACAGAACAAUUGCUGUGGCUGUGAGUCCUGAGCAAGGAAUAACCUGUCUCGGGGAUGGAACCGGUGAGGCAGGUACAUGCCCUUCUGCGCCCCGAGAACUUUAUCUGCAUUUGACUCUCAUCAAUCAUGACGUCUAAAGUAUAGAAGAAACGGCAAAGAACGUCCCUUCCAUCUCGCCCUGUUUCUCCUGUGCACAUGAUGAAAAUCAGUCAACAGGGAUUUUUCUUCCCUUAAUGGGGGCAAAAUUAGAAGCAAGACAAGACUGGAUUUUGAAGCGGUUGCAGUAACCCAGGUGAAAAAGGAUGAGGGGCUUGCACAGCAACGUGGAUGUACAUAAUGUCACAAAGUCGUACACUUAAAAAUGCUUAAAAUGGUUAAUUUUAGGUUAUGUGUAUUUUAUCACAAUAAAAAAAUAAGAGGCUGACCUGCAGCAGUAAUAGUGAUAACGGCAGAAGAUUCUACAAGUGUUAGGAAAUGGUUGGGUGCAGAUACAUUUUCAUAUCAUUCUCAUGGGCAAAUUGUGCAGAUGAACAAAUAUUAAACUCCAGCACACUAAUGCCAGAAACACUCUUACAACCUUCUCAUUGAAACAAACAGACCUACACAUCAUGAAGUCAUUCAAUCAGAUUUUACAACGAAAUGUUUUUCGUCGUACAUUUAGAACAUUUUCUUUUAUGACAUGUAAAUAUCAAGCUUUAAACAAAUCAUACAGAUGGGAAAAUGAAAUGUGCUGCACUAAAAGCACCCGGAUUUAGCAAAGAAAGGGCAAAAAAGGGGGGAACCACUCCUCGAGGCAUCUCUGGUUCAGUUUUGACUGUCAGAAAUACGAGAGAGGUAAAAGCAUUUCCAGGAUUCAGUUGCAUCUGUGAGUUGAGCACAAAAGGAAAAGAUAAAUAGGAAGGAACUUCAGACAUGACUUGUGCAAACAGCAGAUUCAUCGGUUUUGGUAAUGACAAUUUACAUUUUAGGAUUUGUAAUCUGUUGACAUGUGAUUCAUUGAAAUUCCAUGGAGGAAUUAGAAGAGAUCUGGAAUUAUUUUCAGAAAAAUAUAACAUUUCACGUUAAACUUUCAGAUGUAUAUCUAUCUGGUUUUUCCAAUAUGUCUUUUAACAGAUGGCUUUCUAAUAAUACAUUUUACUGUUCCUUCAUCUCCAUCCCCACAAAUGAUUGGGUAAAGAAGUGAAAAAUACUGUCAAGACCAAUAUUAACGAGGAGUAUGACAGCUAGAAUCAGGAUUUCAUUUUAAUACAGCAUGAUUCUUUUCUACUGAAUUAAAGUUAUUUGAUAAUAGCUCAUGAGUUUCAAUAACAAAAGAGUUUCUUCUAGAGCUCACAAAGAACUUAAAAUGUACAACUUAAAUAAAAAAGAUAUUUUUUUAAAGCCCCGGCAACCAGAAAAUUUACUUAACUUGAUACAUACAGACUUCAGAGAAACCUGACUUUUGUAAAGCCAGGCCAUUUCCUCUAGGAUUUCUGUAAACUCAAUCAUCAUACAGGGGAAAAGCAAGCGUCUGUUACCUUAAGUUCACAAUACUGGAGUGACAGUGACCCACAGCCAAAUUUGAAAUGGCGGUGGCUUCAUACAUUGAAUAAUAGAAACUGUCUUGUUUUUCACAGUUAGUGCAAUCAACCUAAUGGCUUUUGUAUAAUUUUCCAAGCUACUUAAUGGAUAUUUUGUGGUUUAAAAUAAUUAUCUUUCCUGUCAGGCAAGAUAAAGACUCCAAAUUUCUUCAUUUGAAGAGUGAAUCUUCUCAAGAAGACGUUUAUGUUUGUUGGAGCAAUAAUUCCAGGCACUAUUCUACAGACCAACACGAGUCUGUGUUGAAGUGUUCUCAGUGAAAUAAGAAAAAUUGGGGCAAUGCAGUCGUUGCUCUUUUAUGUAUGAAAAGCUAAGUGUCUUCAAACACUAUGAUGGUUCCUCAAAAAAUGAAGCCUGCAAUUGCCGUAUGAUCCAGCAAUCCCACCUCUGGUAUGUACCCAAAAUAAUUGAAAGCAGGGACUCAAAGAAUUAUUUGUAUACCUGUGUUCAUAG